ACAGUGGAUGCGAGCAUCUUUGUAGCAAGUUAGUAAGGGCAUACGGUGGAUGUCUUGGCACCAGGAGCCGAUGAAGGACGUAGGAGACUGCGAAAAGUCUAGGGGAGCUGUCAACCGAGCUGAGAUCCUAGAAUUUCCGAAUGGGGAAACCCGGCCCCAGUCAUGUGGGGUCACCCAUACCUGAACACAUAGGGUAUGUGGAGGGAACGCGGGGAAGUGAAACAUCUCAGUACCCGCAGGAAGAGAAAACAACCGUGAUUCCGUGAGUAGUGGCGAGCGAAAGCGGAUGAGGCUAAACCGCGUCUGUGUGAUACCCGGCAGGGGUUGCAUUCGCGGGGUCGUGGGACCUCUUGGCUAGUUCUGCCGAGCUAGCAAACAGUCAAAAACCAUUGUGGUUAGAGGAAUGCGUCUGGAAAGCGUGAGCGUAGAGGGUGAAACUCCCGUACUCGAAAACGUGGCUGUUUAGAGUGUUCCCAAGUAGCAGCGUACUCGUGAAAUUCGCUGUGAAUCUGGCGGGACCACCCGCUAAGCCUAAAUACUCCCUGGUGACCGAUAGCGGACUAGUACCGUGAGGGAAAGAUGAAAAGUACCCCGGGAGGGGAGUGAAAUAGUACCUGAAACCGUGUGCCUACAAUCCGUCGGAGCCUUUAGGGGUGACGGCGUGCCUUUUGAAGAAUGAGCCUGCGAGUUAGUGCUACGUGGCGAGGUUAACCCGUGUGGGGUAGCCGUAGCGAAAGCGAGUCUGAAUAGGGCGCUUGAGUCGCGUGGUCUAGACCCGAAGCGGUGUGAUCUAGCCAUGGCCAGGGUGAAGCGCGGGUAAGACCGCGUGGAGGCCCGAACCCACCAGGGUUGAAAACCUGGGGGAUGAGCUGUGGUUAGGGGUGAAAGGCCAAUCAAACACCGUGAUAGCUGGUUCUCCCCGAAAUGCAUUUAGGUGCAGCGUCGUGUGUUUCACCGCGGGGGUAGAGCACUGGAUGGUCUAGGGGGCCUACAAGCUUACCGAAAUCAACCAAACUCCGAAUACCGUGGUGUGAGAGCGCGGCAGUGAGACUGCGGGGGAUAAGCUUCGUAGUCGAGAGGGAAACAGCCCAGAACGCCAGCUAAGGCCCCUAAGUGUGUGCUAAGUGGGAAAGGAUGUGGGGUCGCACAGACAGCCAGGAGGUUGGCUUAGAAGCAGCCACCCUUUAAAGAGUGCGUAAUAGCUCACUGGUCAAGUGGUCCUGCGCCGACAAUGUAGCGGGGCUUAAGCACACCGCCGAAGCUGUGUCAUUUCAGCCUUGAGCUGGGAUGGGUAGGGGAGCGUCGUGUAGCGGUUGAAGCGGCGGAGGAAUCCAGCCGUGGACGCUAUGCGAGUGAGAAUGCAGGCAUGAGUAGCGAAAGACGAGUGAGAAACUCGUCCGCCGGAUGACCAAGGGUUCCUGGGCCAGGCUAAUCCGCCCAGGGUAAGUCGGGACCUAAGGCGAGGCCGACAGGCGUAGUCGAUGGACAACGGGUUGAUAUUCCCGUACCCGUGUGAACGCGCCCAUGAUGAACCUUGUGAUACUAACCGCCCGAAGCCCUCCGAAAAUCCUUCGGGAUCUAGGGGCAAGUGGAGCGCGGGACCUGAACUUGUAGUAGUCAAGCGAUGGGGUGACGCAGGAGGGUAGCUCCGCCAGUGAGUGGUAGUACUGGUGCAAGCGUGUAGG
rnacentral:rRNA from 2 species